GACGAACGCUGGCGGCGUGCUUAACACAUGCAAGUCGAACGGAAAGGCCCUGCUUUUGUGGGGUGCUCGAGUGGCGAACGGGUGAGUAACACGUGAGUAACCUGCCCUUGACUUUGGGAUAACUUCAGGAAACUGGGGCUAAUACCGGAUAGGAGCUCCUGCUGCAUGGUGGGGGUUGGAAAGUUUCGGCGGUUGGGGAUGGACUCGCGGCUUAUCAGCUUGUUGGUGGGGUAGUGGCUUACCAAGGCUUUGACGGGUAGCCGGCCUGAGCGGGUGACCGGCCACAUUGGGACUGAGAUACGGCCCAGACUCCUACGGGAGGCAGCAGUGGGGAAUAGUGCACAAUGGGCGGAAGCCUGAUGCAGCCAAGCCGCGUGCGGGAUGACGGCCUUCGGGUUGUAAACCGCUUUCGCCUGUGACGAAGCGUGAGUGACGGUAAUGGGUAAAGAAGCACCGGCUAACUACGUG
rnacentral:rRNA from 1 species